AGAUAUUUUGAAUGAAAUUAGUGUUUAACAUUUUCUUUAAACCACAUGGUGACCCCUCCACCUCACCUCCCUCACAUAACCCAAGGUCCCAAAUUGAGACUCCCAAUCCUGUAUCUGACAUUUUCUUUUUUCGUAUCCCAUAAGUCUCUCUCUCUCUCACUUCCUAUCAGCCCAUAAAAAAAUCUUGCCUUGAGAGAAGUUCCUUGAAACACAAAAUCCCAGAAAUCUCUCUCUCUCUCUCUCUCUCUCUCUCUCUCUCUCUCUCUCUCUCUCUCUCUCUCUCUCUCUCUCUUUUCCAGAAACCUCUAGCCAAGCAAUCUCCUCACUCCUCAGCGAAAUUUCCUAAACACACACUCUCUCUCUAGGGUUUUAGGCAUUUUUUUGCCCCUCUCUCUCUCUUCUUCUUUGAAAUCUUAGCACAAACACACCACACCCACACCCCACCGUGACCUCCACCACAGGGGCGCACACUCUGGCGAGCAUUAUCACCACCUGUGGACCGUUCAUCAUCCCUUUCUCACCUCCCGGCAAGCACCCUCAGGCAAUGGGAGGCCUUGUUUAGGCAGUACGAAGCGGAGGAUCCAUCAAACCCGAGCAUGUUUUGGGAUCCGGAGAAAAUGGAUUUUUCAUUUCCGACGACGAAGGCGCAGAUCUUGGGUCUGAGCCUGGAUUGCAGAGAGAGAUUUGGGCAGCUGUGACGACGCAGCCUCGGCUGCCUUUUCGACGACGAAGCCACGACGAUUGUUUCGAUAAUAUUGCGAUAUUUUGACGAUAAUUAGGAGGAUAUGUGGGAAAAUAUCGAUCUCUCUGAAAAAUGAUAAUAUCGGCGAUAUUUCGUCGAUAUUAUCGAUAUUUUAGUCAUUGGUCCUAAUGCAAGACUAAAUUAAUGACAUGUGAAAUUCACAUGCUAAUGAAAUGAAAUUUAUCUUUUCAAUAA